rnacentral:rRNA from 1 species
UAUGGGGGGUGCAAGCGUUGUUCGGAUUUACUGGGCGUAAAGGGCGUGUAGGCGGAUCGGCAAGCUGGGGGUGAAAUCCCUGAGCUCAACCCGGGACGUGCUUCCAGAACUACCGAUCUUGAGAGAGGCAGAGGCAGGUGGAAUUCCAGGUGUAGAGGUGAAAGUCGUAGAGAUCUGGAGGAACACCGGCGGCGAAGGCGGCCUGCUGGGCCUUAUCUGACGCUGAGGCGCGAAAGCGUGGGGAGCAAACAGG